rnacentral:rRNA from 1 species
CACGUAGGGCGCAAGCGUUGUCCGGAAUUAUUGGGCGUAAAGAGCUCGUAGGCGGUCUGUUGCGUCCGCUGUGAAAACUCGGGGCUUAACCCCGAGCCUGCAGUGGAUACGGGCAGACUAGAGGUAGGUAGGGGAGAAUGGAAUUCCCGGUGUAGCGGUGAAAUGCGCAGAUAUCGGGAGGAACAUCAGUGGCGAAAGCGGCUUCCUGGACCAGCACCGACGUUCAGGCACGAAAGCGUGGGGAGCAAACAGG